GAUGAAGAACGUAGCGAAAUGCGAUAAGUAGUGUGAGUUGCAGAAUUCAGUGAAUCAUCGAAUCUUUGAACGCACAUUGCGCCCCUUGGUAUCCCGAGGGGCAUGCCUGUUCGAGCGUCAUUUCACCACUCAAGCCUGGCUUGGUGUUGGGCGACGUCCCCUUUGGGGACGCGCCUCGAAACGCUCGGCGGCGUGGCACCGGCUUUAAGCGUAGCAGAAUCUUUCGCUUUGGAAGUCGGGGCCCCGUCUGCCGGAAGACCUACUCGCAAGGUUGACCUCGGAUCAGGCAGGGAUACCCGCUGAACUUAAGCAUAUCAAUAAGCGGAGGA
rnacentral:misc_RNA from 1 species